UACGUAGGCAGCAAGCGUUGUUCGGAGUUACUGGGCGUAAAGAGUGCGUAGGCGGUGUCGAAAGUUUGGCGUGAAAUCUCCCGGCUUAACUGGGAGGGUGCGCCGAAAACUGCGAUGCUGGAGUGUGGGAAAGGCAAGCGGAAUUCCUGGUGUAGCGGUGAAAUGCGUAGAUAUCAGGAGGAACACCGGUGGCGAAGGCGGGUCUCUGGGCCGAAAUUGACGCUGAGGAGCGAAAGCGUGGGGAGCAAACAGG
rnacentral:rRNA from 1 species